rnacentral:rRNA from 1 species
CUUGACAUCCCGGGAAUCCCUUGGAAACAAGGGAGUGGCCCUUCGGGGAACCUGGAGACAGGUGCUGCAUGGCUGUCGUCAGCUCGUGUCGUGAGAUGUAGGGUUAAGUCCCGCAACGAGCGCAACCCUUGUCUUUAAUUGCCAUCAUUGAGUUGGGCACUUUAAAGAGACUGCCGGGUGUUAAACCGGAGGAAGGUGGGGAUGACGUCAAGUCCUCAUGGCCUUUAUGCCCAGGGCUACACACGUGCUACAAUGGCUGAAACAGAGGGAGGCGAAGGGGUGACCUGGAGCGAAACCCAGAAAACAGUCUCAGUUCGGAUUGAAGUCUGCAACUCGACUUCAUGAAGUCGGAAUCGCUAGUAAUCGCGGAUCAGAACGCCGCGGUGAAUACGUUCUCGGGUUU